UACAGAGGUCCCGAGCGUUGUUCGGAUUCACUGGGCGUAAAGGGUGCGUAGGUGGCUUGAAAAGUUUGAUGUGAAAGCUCAGGGCUUAACCCUGAAAUGGCAUUGAAUACUGUCGGGCUGGAGGUUUGGAGGGGGGACUGGAAUUCUUGGUGUAGCAGUGAAAUGCGUAGAUAUCAAGAGGAACACCAGUGGCGAAGGCGAGUCCCUGGACAACACCUGACACUGAGGCACGAAAGCUGGGGAGCAAACAGG
rnacentral:rRNA from 1 species